rnacentral:rRNA from 1 species
AAUGGGCGCAAGCCUGAUGCAGCCAUGCCGCGUGUGUGAAGAAGGCCUUCGGGUUGUAAAGCACUUUCAGUUGUGAGGAAAGGUUAGUAGUUAAUACCUGCUAGCUGUGACGUUAACAACAGAAGAAGCACCGGCUAACUCCGUGCCAGCAGCCGCGGUAAUACGGAGGGUGCGAGCGUUAAUCGGAAUUACUGGGCGUAAAGCGUACGCAGGCGGUUUGUUAAGCGAGAUGUGAAAGCCCCGGGCUCAACCUGGGAACUGCAUUUCGAACUGGCAAACUAGAGUGUGAUAGAGGGUGGUAGAAUUUCAGGUGUAGCGGUGAAAUGCGUAGAGAUCUGAAGGAAUACCGAUGGCGAAGGCGGCCACCUGGGUCAACACUGACGCUCAUGUACGAAAGCGUGGGGAGCAAACGGGAUU